UACGUAGGGGGCAAGCGUUGUCCGGAUUUAUUGGGCGUAAAGAGCGUGUAGGCGGCCAGAUAGGUCCGUUGUGAAAACUCGAGGCUCAACCUCGAGACGCCGAUGGAAACCAUUUGGCUAGAGUCCGGAAGAGGAGAGUGGAAUUCCUGGUGUAGCGGUGAAAUGCGCAGAUAUCAGGAAGAACACCAGUGGCGAAGGCGGCGCUCUGGACCGAGACUGACGCUGAGGCGCGAAAGCGUGGGGAGCAAACAGG
rnacentral:rRNA from 1 species